rnacentral:rRNA from 1 species
UACGUAGGGUGCGAGCGUUAAUCGGAAUUACUGGGCGUAAAGCGUGCGCAGGCGGUUUGUUAAGACAGAUGUGAAAUCCCCGGGCUUAACCUGGGAACUGCAUUUGUGACUGGCAAGCUAGAGUAUGGCAGAGGGGGGUAGAAUUCCACGUGUAGCAGUGAAAUGCGUAGAGAUCCGGAGGAACCCCAGAGGCGAAGGCGGCGUCCUGGCUCGCAUCUGACGCUCAGACACGACAGCAUGGGGAGCGAACGGG